rnacentral:tRNA from 1 species
GGGCGCGUAGCUCAGUGGAUAGAGCAAUUGCCUUCUAAGCAAUCGGUCGCUGGUUCGAGUCCAGCCGCGCUCG